rnacentral:rRNA from 1 species
UAAGGAAUAUUCCGCAAUGGGCGCAAGCCUGACGGAGCGACGCCGCGUGAAGGAGGAAGCCCUUCGGGGUGUAAACUUCUUUUCUCUGGGAUGACACGUGCCCCCGUCAAAAGGGGCGCUAGGACAGUACCAGAGGAAUAAGCCUCGGCUAACUACGUGCCAGCAGCCGCGGUAAUACGUAGGAGGCGAGCGUUGUCCGGAUUUACUGGGCGUAAAGCGCGCGCAGGCGGCACACUAAGUACGAUGUGAAAUCUCCCUGCUCAACGGGGAGGGAGCAUAGUAAACUGGUGAGCUAGAGGACGGUAGAGGGGGGUGGAAUUGCUGGUGUAGCGGUGAAAUGCGUAGAGAUCAGCAGGAACACCCGUGGCGAAGGCGGCCCCCUGGGCCGAACCUGACGCUGAGGCGCGAAGGCUAGGGGAGCGAACGGGAUUAGAUACCCCCGUAGUCC